GGCGGAGACAAGCGGAUUAUGGCCGAUGCGCGAAUAUCAUGGACCGUCCUGAUCCACCUAGUUUCUUGCUUUACACGCAGGAGGCCGGCGGUUCGAUCCCGUCACCGCCC
rnacentral:tRNA from 1 species